AACGUUUUUCACCUGUGCUGGUCCUGUGAGUAUUUCCAUUAUUGGUUUUGGUAGCACUGAAGGACGAACAUGAUAGAAACAUUAUUGCAGUCAUGAAAUCCGCACAAGUUAGCUAAAAUUUGUGGUAUAUAACCAAUGAACCUGGCAUAUUUCAGCACUUCAUAUUAGCAAGGCUUGCUUGUCUUUCAUCUUUAUAUGGUGUCUUAGCUAUAAGCUUGCUUAGCCAUAACCUGUGUUUCACUAAUCCAAUUUCAUUAAAAGAGAAAACGAUACACAGCUACUUGAUUAGUUAUCUACUGAUGAUUUGAUUAAUUAGUUCGAUCAGUUUCUCUACAACAUGAUUUGACUAGUCCAGAGAAAAUGCAUGUGAGAAUAUACAGUUAUAGCAAUCCAGGCCAGUCGACAAUGUUUGACUAGUUCUAUAUAUAUAUAUAUAUAGAAAGGAUAGAGAGCGGACGUCCGUACUCUGGCUUAAAGUGCGGACUUCGUCCGUUCUCUGCCGUCUCACGCCGGCGACGGCUUCUCUCCUUCUCGGACGACAGCACAGGCUUCUAGGACGGUUUCUCUCCUUCCAAGACUGGCCAGCGACAAGUUUUCCGGCCGGUUUGAAGCUCUGGACGGAAAACACCAUGAUUGAUCAAGGUUGGCCGGAAAACUUGUCGCCGGCCAGUCCUGGNNNNNNNNNNNNNNNNNNNNAUAUAUAUAUAUAUAUAUACAUAUAUGUGGCUAGCUUGUAUAUAUAUAUAUACACACACAUACAUACAGGCCGGAUGUAGAGCGGACGUCCGCACUUUAAGCCAGAGUGCGAACGUCCGCUCUCUAUCCUUUCUGCACAUACAUAUAUGUGGCUAGCUUGUUAUCCAAGUAAACAGAUGUGACGUGUACGUGGCGUUGAUGCCAUGUUUUGCAUGCAGAAUAAUUAGCAAGCAGUGCAAACGAUCUCGAUUCUAUUUAUGAAACCUAAUCGUUCUUACCAAGUAAUACGAUCGAAGUUUUACCUGAGAAACCAAAAUAACGUACAAACUUAAUUUCUUGAAUUAUCUGAAAUAUUUUAGUCUAGCUGAGCAAAUAUAUAAAAAUCCUGAACAGAACACGUACCUNNNNNNNNNNNNNNNNNNNNAUACAGGCCGGAUGUAGAGCGGACGUCCGCACUCCGGCUUAAAGUGCGGACUUCGUCCGUUCUCUGCCGUCUCAUGCCGGCGACGGCUUCUCUCCUUCCAGGACUGGCCGGCGACAAGUUUUCCGGCCAACCUUGAUCAAUCAUGGUGUUUUCCGUCCAGAGCUUCAAUCCGACCGGAAAACUUGUCGCCGGCCAGUCCUGGAAGGAGAGAAACCGUCCUGGAAGCCUGUGCUGUCGUCCGGGAAGGAGAGAAGCCGUCACCGGCGUGAGACGGCAGAGAACGGACGAAGUCCGCACUUUAAGCCAGAGUGCGAACGUCCGCUCUCUAUCCUUUCUGCACAUACAUAUAUGUGGCUAGCUUGUUAUCCAAGUAAACAGAUGUGACGUGUACGUGGCGUUGAUGCCAUGUUUUGCAUGCAGAAUAAUUAGCAAGCAGUGCAAACGAUCUCGAUUCUAUUUAUGAAACCUAAUCGUUCUUACCAAGUAAUACGAUCGAAGUUUUACCUGAGAAACCAAAAUAACGUACAAACUUAAUUUCUUGAAUUAUCUGAAAUAUUUUAGUCUAGCUGAGCAAAUAUAUAAAAAUCCUGAACAGAACACGUACCUCACCUCCGGAUUAAUUUGAAAAUUUUAAACUUAAUUUGUACGAUAGUGUAUAUAUAUACGAAAUCCAUUUUGUUCACUUAUCUAUAUUGGUUUUCAUGAGUCGAAUACUCACUAUAAGUCUAUAAUAUGUUGUUGAAACCAUCUAUAUGUGUUAAAGUUUUCUUGUUUAUACGUGCAUGCAUGCUCCUACUACAUCACUCAAUAUGAUGAUAAGACCGAUACCAAAUGCUAAAGAAACAAUAAGAACAUGAUUAUACCAAAAUGCGUUUGUUCAUGCGAGUAUGUUAGCUAAUAGCUUCUCAUUUUGAUUGCUAGCUACCUACUCUCUUUCAUUUUGUUGUCAUCGAUCAGAUAAGGUUAACAUAUGAAUCAUCCUGAUCGAGUUAGGAAUGUUUCAGCAAUUCACUUAAAUAUAAUGCAUCAUUACCACCAUGGAGGAUUAAAGCAAACGCGGUUGCUUGUAUAUCCUACUUAAUUAAUUUGACAACUGUGUGAUUAUGGCGUGGUGUUACCUGAUCGUGGCAUUGUGGUUGCUAAACCAGACACUGAGGCCCGAUACAGGAUGUCAAAGGUUGGAAUAUAUUCUUGAGAAUCGGUGAAUAUAAUCGUACUUUCUUAAUUUUUGCAGCUACUUGCGCGCUUAGCUAUGCCGGUCUUAUGUUCCGAGAAGAGGUGGCUGUGCCGGUCUUAUUAUCGGAGAAAUAUUUGAGAUAAAAUAAAAGAUAAGAUAUUUACCCUUCUUUAUAUAUCAGUCAUUUUAAAAAUGAAAAUGAUUCUUGGCCUUAAUAAGGCUUAAUAUUUAUGGCCUUAAUCUUAGGUGGCAUGUUAUAUCACCUAGACACAUCACCAAUUAUGUCAUGUCGUUCUUAAACAAAAAUACAAUCUUAUCCUUCCAAAUCCAAUGACUCUAGAUUAUUUUGCCUUUUUAUUAAGAGAAAAAAAUUGAUUUGUCUUUCUUUUAUAAUUAAAAAAUAUAUAUUUCUAGCAUUUUCUUUCUCCUUUUCUUUUCAUCACUAUCAUGCUUAAAUUGAACGUAACAUAUAGUGUGAAAAUACAUAUAUUUAUGAGAAUAUAGUUGUUCAAAAACACGAAUUAUUAUGACAUACACACACACACACAUACACACACAUAUAUAAUUUGUCCAAGAAAAAACAAUUUCGUCCAGGUUAUUUUUUUUUACAUAUAUAUAUAUAUAUAAUUCGUCCAAAAUAAAGUAUAUAUAUGUAAUCAUCCAAAAGAAAUUCGAUAGAGAUUUUUUUAUUUUUUAUUUUAUUUUAAAAAUUCGAUACAGAAUAUGGCUUAUACAUAGAUAUCAUAAUUUUAAACUGCAAAAACAAAAUAUUAAAAUGAAACUAAAUUUUGAUUCACAAAGAUAGAAGGCAAUUUUAAUAAAUUUACGAAAUUGAUUUAUGGUAUAAAAGCCUAGUUUGGUAUGAUUAUUAAUUUGGUCAUUAUUAUUAAUAAAUUAACUAAAUUUGGUAUACACGGAUCUAUAUUAAUAGGGUAAGAAAGUAUUUCAUAUUAGUAUGUAACAUCUAUUAAUUAUUAAGGUUAAAAUUGUUUUUUUACCUAAAAAUGAAAUGACAUGAUUUAUUAAAUUGAUGAUAUGUCUAUAUGAUAUGACAUGCCACAUAGGAUGAUUUAUGACCUUAUUAAGACCCCAUAACACUACCCUUCUAAAAAAAGAGGAUAUCUGGGGAUAAUUCGAAAAUAUCGAUCUCAAAUUUCAAUCCUUGAGCUACCCUCUCCAACAGCUCCAACUAAAACCUUAAGCGCGGCCGCGAAGGUAGGAAAUGCCGAUUGCUAUAGAAGCUAGGUACGUGGCUGCGUGCAGCCUGGCUUAGGAUUCUCUGUUUUGCUUUAGCCUAAGGGGGGUGUAUUGUAUUUGGAUUCAUACAGACUUAUUUUAAUCAACUGACUUUUUGAAAAGUCUACAGACUCUUUGAAAAGUUCAUAGACUUUCACUGAUUUCUUAAAACCAUUGAUUUUUAAUCACGUACUUUCACUGAUUUCUGAAAUCUACAGAGAUUUCAUAUGAAUGACUUUUAUAGAUUUCUCAAUACUUAUAGAUUUCUCAAUACUUAUAGAGUUACAGGAAAGAAAAAAAAUAAAGAUGCAAUAACAAAGACAUAAUAACACUGAUUAUAAGUUUAGUGCUCAUCUAUCUAAUUUCGAUACAUACAGUUGUAAUAUUUGAUUGAAAUACAUAAACAUAGGUAACGAAAAAGAUUAUAUUAAUUUAACAACACGCAUACUUGUACGUAAACCAAAGACACAUGUUCUAAAAUUAGACAUUAGAUGUUCACAAGUUUAAUUCAUGUACGCAAAUAUAAUAAUAUAUGAUCAUGUGGUUUUAAUAUCAAGAGUUAGUAGAUAAUAUUUAGGUUAUCGAGGGUUCCAAGCAUUACAAUUGAAAGACAACAAAAUGUUAACAUUCAAAAACCAUUGAAAAGAAUAGGUAGAAUAGAACGUUGAUAGCACAAAAUAUUAUAAAAAAGAAAAAAGAAAAAAAAAGAUGAUGUAUCAUAGGAUCAACUUAUUCACAUGUAAAGAGAAAGUCUGUCAUAGACUUUUCCAAAUCUUUGCUCUAGUGGAUGGAAAAAUAUUGGAGUUUGGUGUGUGUAAUUUACACUACAAAGUCCACAAUUAUCCAUGAGUUAUUAAUUCCAUAAGUAUGAAUGAUAUUUUGAAUACAUCUGAACUUCUAUUCAUUUUAAAAAGUCUUAAUUGAAUACCCUUGAACUUUGGUGGAAUUCAUAAUGAUUUUUUAAAAUUAAGUUGAAUACACCCAGACUUUGAUUGAUUUUUAAAAGUCUAUAUUAAAUACACCUAAACUUUCAAAUUUCAUAGACUUCUUUAAAACUUCCAUUAAUUCUAUAUACAAUACACCCCCUAAAAAUGUAUAAACAUGUUACACGACUCACUAACUAAUGAGAAGGCCGACACUAAGCAUCUGGGUCAGGGUAUUAGCGCUAAAAAACUAGUCUUUCUGGGGCACCCCAAAGCAGAGAGUGGAAGGAGCUCCACCUUUAAGAAUAUAUAUUAAGGACUACUGUACGUUUUCAUGGCUCUAGGGUUCCCUCCAAAAUGGGCAUAGACAAAAGACAAAGCACCAGUAAGCUUUGGUGCAGUGGUCCCUCCAAGAAGAGGAGCUGCGUGCUCAUGAGGAGCAGUAGACAAAAAUUAGGGUUUAUUAUGGGAACUUGGAGGAGGAGGAAUUGAAGAUGAGGAGGGGGAUCGAUCGGGUCACCACCGGACCUUUCUUCAAUAAAUCCGUGGGCAUUUCUUAAUUAACUCUCAUUUCAAUAUAUGGCAGAUUGAAUAUGAAUGAAGAUUUACGGAUUGGACCACCCUUGCAGUUGGUUCCACUAAUUUUUGUUUCAAUUUUGCUCCAUUGUGCACCUCAAUUCGAAUAUCUUUUGGCAAUUAUAUAUGAACCAACUCAUGUGUUGGUGUGUUUGUUAGUAUAAACCUAAUCCAAAACCCUGCCCUACUCAACCACCACACUACAGUCCACUGUCUCUUUCAUCUAUAUAUUAAUCUAUACAUGAUGUUGUAUAUAUAUAUUUAGGUCUUGUGGAGAAUGUAGUACUAAUUGGAAGAUAUUUUUUAGGAUAUUAGUUUUGUGAUCGACGAGCACAAGUUUAAAGUCUUAUUUCAACACAAUAUGAUUUUAGUCCAUGAUCUUAUCUUUGCUGUUGUGUUGAUGGUGUUCCUANNNNNNNNNNNNNNNNNNNNNUUUUUUUUUUUUUUUUGGUGGCAAACAACGAAACCAUGCAUCAACGUUAGAACAAUCAAAUAGUUAGAUGAUUGAGUUCGAACAUACUCAAAUGUGAGGUUAGAGUGUUAUGUAUUGAAAUAUAUAGAUGAUUCACUUGAUUUUCGUUACACGUAAUACAUAUUGCGGAUCCUGAUAUCAAAGACAUUAACGUAGAUCAAAAUCUAAUUAAGAUUUGGAUUUUAUUGUCUACUAAUCUAUAUCUUAGGAACAUGGGAGGAGUUCAAAUUUCGAAGAAAUAUGUUUAAAAUAUACAUGUGCUGAUGUAAAUCUACAUUCAUAUAUAUAUACACACACACACAUAUAUGAGUCCGGAUUUAUAGAGGAUCUCUUUAAACUCUUAAAGUGAGGAUAUUUUUAGUUCUAGCAUGUAUUUUGACAAUCAAAGCCAUGCAUUCCUUAGUUAUUUACUCACAUAAAAAUCCUACAAAAAAUUAGCCAAAAUGAAAAACGUUUAAUGAUUUGAUUAACACAAUAUUUUUUUUAAUUUUAUCUAACAGCCUAUAAUUGUUUACGUCAAUUUGAAUGACUAAAUGAUUAUGGAAUUAGUUAAAAUUUUAUAGAUAUGUUUUUUGCAUAUGAAUCUAGAGGAUCAACGGUUGAGAUAGUUAAAUGAAAUCAUCUACUAAUGUAAAAUAAUAGAAAUUCUCAAAUUCUUGAAGUAAGGACGUCCUAUAUAUAUAUACAUAUAUUAUAUAGUAUGAAAUUGAUAUAUUAAUCUGCAACAGAAAAAUUGACAAAUGCAUGCACCAGUUCACACAAAACAAUGUAAAUAAUACAUAAAAUUAACUUCAACAUAUGUUAAAUUAAUGGUUGGAACAGUAGUACAGUAUACAAAUGAAAUUUGUAUUUUAACAGUACAAAGUACAGUAUUAGAGUAUUAGUAACUUAAUAUUUGAUUAAUUUCUAGCUUGAAAAUCAUGCAUUGAAAUUAUGGUAAAUUAGAAGAGUGUCAUAGAUGAUUGUCUCGACCCAUUCCUGGCCUCUUCUUGAUUUUGCUAGAGGUUAAUUUCCACGAUCUAAUUUGUUAGUUACUCUAAACUCAUUUUUCAUACAUAUUCUUUCUUUCAUCAAAUGAGUAGAUAUAUAUUUUUACGGAAAAUAAUUUAAAAGAACGAAAGAUCUAUGCAAAUCUUAAUGUAUACAAUGCAGUUGAAUAUUAAUCUGGUGUAAUAUAAAGCGUUAGCUAAUUGUUAUAUAAGAUCGAUCUGAAGCACAUCCAUCAUUUCAGUUUCAAAAAGAAAGAAAGAAAAAAGGGACACUCUUAGCCAGAGAACCAGAAAUGGAAAUAGGGUUUUGCAAAACCCAGUUUUGUCGACAUGGAAUGAUGUUACGUACGCUGGAAACAUCAGGUAGGGUUUUAGAGAAAUUAGACUACACACGCAUGAGUGGUGUCUGUGAACAUGUUGAUCAAUACGUAGGUCCCGAAAUUCACAAGCCACACGAGAGGUUGGGGAAUUGGGUCCCGAGCCAUGAUAUCUGGGAAGCAGAAAUCGGUGGCCUUGUCUCUGGCUCUCUCUGAUGACCAGCUUGAUUGAAUCCAAUUGAUGAAGAAGAUGAAGAAGAAAGCCAGACAGCAACUCAUUGGUUGUUGAAGUGAGCCACGUCUACGCAGCUAUGACCAUUCAUGGUAUUGGAUUGGAAUUGUUAUCAUAACUGUAGGUAGCUGCAGUGCUCGAUCGAUCUUGCAGAGAAUGGGACCCUAAGCAACCUGGGAAAUUGAAACACCAUAACUCGUUUACCCAUCAUUUUGGUCCUGAUUGCUUCUCUAGCUCUGUAUUCUUGUCCAGCCACAUGAAGGAAAUUUCAACGAUACUCCAAACUCCAAAGUAGUGAGAUCGGAUAUUCGCGUACGUUAUAUCUAACAAGUUCAUAUAGGUAGCUUUAAACUAGAUUUCUAAUUUCAGAAUAUUAUGAACUGCUUUUCACAUAAUCUCCCUCACAUUAUACCUUUUAUUAUUAUGAAAUUAAUCAUACUUUAGAUUUACACAAACAUGUAUGAAAAUUAGUAACUAAACUAAAUUAGGUUGAUGAUCAUCUCGUGAAAUAAUUUGGUGGUUCUCUAAUUUUCUGAAUCUAGCAUGCAUGUUUAUCACAAAAUAACACAUUCAACUCGAAUUCUUCAUAUAUAAUGAAUUGAACUCUAAUUGUUAGAUCUAUCCAAGUAACGAGAUUUCAACACAGGUGUGUCAUUUUGAGACGGUUUAAAGUUUAAUCAAUCAUUUAAUGAUUAAGGGGAUAACAACUAUUUGAAACGAGAGUUUACAUAUCCAAGAGGAACCCUAAAUGUGUAUUCUAUCUUCAUUUCGUAGAGCUUUCACAGAAGUACAUGAGAGGAUCGAGUGAGUAGAGAGUAGAUUCUCAUAUCUUAUUAUUAUUUAUUAGUACAUAUAAUUCAUUUUAGUAUAUAUGUUGUUCAUCCUGGAUUGUAAAUGGUAAUUAUUUGGAAAGAUUGAUCAAGAAUUGGAUUUCCUGGGCAUUCAAUUAUUCACAGUUUACAAAUAAACCAAGAGAGAUUUUUCUUUUUUUUUUUUCCUUCAAAGAAAAAGGAGGAUGGCAGCGCCUCCGCUUGAGGAGGCAAUGGUUGUCUUAGACAGGGGCCGGGCUGGAUCUCAUCCGAGAUUUCGACUUCUUUUUUGUGCACUCGGCUUCUACCGGUAAAUGAGGUGGCUGCUCCGUCAGUGCUUUUGUCAUGUUGGCGAUUUGGAGGGUGAAGGAGAAGGUCGAGAUCCAUGCAGAGGACGGCGAGCCUUUUGUUUUCCGAUUCAAGGAGGCGGAAGAGCAUAAAUGCAUCAAGGGAGGAGGGGGGGGGGGGGGGGGGGGGGGCGGACUUUGGUUAUACAAUAACUUCAUGCUUAUCUUGGUGGACUACGACGGAGUGAGUGAUCCAAGAGGUUGCUUCUGAAUCUGCUAGAGGUUUGGGUCACUGUUAAGGGUCUCCAAGUGGGCAUGCGCAUGGAGAAGGUCCUUGCUCAACUUGGGAAUAUUUUGGGCUCGUUUACUCAGGCUGAUCCGGCAGCGCUGUGGUGUAAGGAGGUUGUCCAGAAUAUCUAAAUCAUGCACAAUGUGCAGCGACGGUUUUUGGAGUGACGAACCCUAGCUUUCUCGUCGGAAGUGACAGUGAAUAUGAAUAUGAAGAUGGAGUAGGUUGUUAAGAUAAUAGAGCUCAGUGAGCUAGAUGAAAAUGGUGAGCUCAGUGAGCUAGGUAAAAAUGAUGACAGCUGUCUUGGUAAACAAGAAAUUAACUGAUGCCUUCAGUGGUAAAAAUUCAACAGCUUGAUCCUUGGCAAGUAGGCGCGUGAUUCUCAAUCAAAUGAGGUGGUCCUGAUUUUCUGGUGUUGUUGCCAUCUCUUAUCUCUUACCAUCUUACAGCAGGAGCGUCCUCGUGGCCAAGAAGAAAGGAUCACAGCCUUACACGUGGUUUCAUAGCAGCUGUCAAACGAGAUAUUUUGCAACACCACUCCCCUUAUCUCUUGUCUUAUAUAUAUAUAUAUAUAUUUAUAUAUAUAUAUAUUAUAUAUGAAGUGCACUACAUUUCUCUUGUAUUAUCAUUAUCACUACUUCUGUACAAUUACCCUAAUUUCAAAUACAAGUUGCUUUUUCUUUCUAAGCAAUUUUCCGUAGUUCUUUCCUAUCAUAGAAUUGUGUUUCAUCAUUUUUGUGUAAGUAUUUCACCUACUAUCAAGAUUGCAGGCUAUGCAUGAUUUUCAGCAUGGUAUCAGAGCCUACGGCCUGACCAUUGCCUCAUCACACUGUCUUCUGUUGUUUAGUCACUCUCAACACCAAAAAAUAAAAAAUAAAAAAAACUCAUUCCUUCACCUACUGAGACUAUAAAAACUUUAUCAUCAUUUUUUCUUCACAUACUCAUUACAGCUUGUAUUUUUCAUGGUUUUAGACUAAGGAUUAGUCAAAUCUGGUAUAAAAUCUAUCAGAUCUAGUCUUUUCUUGCUUUUAGUCUGAUAAAUCUCUUGUUUCCUCACAGUGUUGGUUCAAUGGCAUGCUCGAAUAAUAACUGCAAUGUUAUUUCGGUGCUCCUUGAGGAAAACAACUAUCCUACAUGGCUCUAUCAAAUGCACCAUCAUCUAAAGAGUCAUGGCUUGCUGAAAAUUGUUGACGGAACUCUUCCUUGUCCAUCACCUUGCUCUAUCAACCCUAAUGGGAUUGAGGUGGCCGGACAACAUAGCUGCGUUUGAAAAAUGGGGAGAGCAAGACAGUGCACUCAUUGGCACCCUUGCCAACUCUCUCUCAUUUGAGCCUCUUGCACUGAUUGUAGGAUGCAGCUCUACCAGGGAGGUAUGGAACAAACUCAAGCAAAGGUAUGCUUCUGUCUUUAAGGCACAUGUUAUGUAGCUUAAGACGUCUGAGUUACAAGCAAUUCAAAAAGGAAGUGAUUCUAUUAAAAGAUGUCUGUUAAAAUUCAAGAAUAUUAGAGAUAAAUUUGUAGUGCUUGGAGUUAUGAUGUCUGAUCAGGAUGUUAAAGUUUUAAUCCUUGAUGGUUUACCUAUUGAGUAUGGUCAUACUAGACAGAUUAUUAGGGGAAAACCUAAUAUUGAUCUAGGUGAGAUCAGUUCAUUAUUGUUGUCUACAGAAAGUGAGAUUGAACUUGAACAAAAAGCUUUACCUCUGUCACAAUUUUCUACUAUGGUUGCACAAAAUCAGAAUGCCUCAAUGCCUAAUGUUCUAAUGGGGAUCAAUCUCCUGCACAGGUCUGUAGCAAUAGAAUAACACACCACACCAGAAAUUAAAGGAUCAAACACCUUAACUGCUGCCAAAGAUGCACUUUUAUUCUCUAUAUUAAAGAUAACGCCAAUAGGCUAACAACUGCUAGUUUAAAUAGGAGAAGAAUCCUACUAGGAAGGAAAUUAAUGAAAAGAAUUAAAUUCAGUUUACCCCCAUGAGGUUUGGGAGUAACUUUAAGUUAAUCCCUAUACUUUCAAUUUCAUCAGUUUACCCCUUAAACUUUUGAAUUUUCCUCAAGCGUGACCAAAUGUCCUAUAUUCUGUCCAAAUCGGACGUUAACUGCUGAUAAUUUUAACCUUAACUGUGAGGUCAGUAUCUAGAAUUUGGGCAAAUCGGACCUUAUAUGUCCAAAUUGGACCUUAACUGCUGAUAAUUAAAGGUCAAUUCAAACGGAAUAUGAGAAUUUGGGCACGGCAGACAGAAAUUGAAGAGUUCAAGGGGUAAACUGAUGAAAAUAAAAGUGUAGGGACUAACAUGAAGUCACCCCCAAACCACAAGGGGGUAAACUGAAUUUAAUUCUAAUGAAAAUAUAAGAUAUCCAAAGAUACCACACUAUCUAGGAAAUUUGUUAUGAAUCUAAACAAUAAAAACUAGGAUUACUGUCUAACAUAGUCUUUGAGAUACGUUGGGCUAUGAGUCUUCCUCUUUUGCCUGCCAAUUAUAGAUGCCCCUGCAUCAGACUCCUGGGGUUGAAAAUGACUCGACCUCGAGUCUGAAUUAGCAACUGCAUUCUCCCCAUGGUAAACUUGCAAAUCAGCCACAUUGAACGAUGAUGAGACCCCAAUAUCUCCAGGGAGGUCUAGCACAUAAGCAUUCUUACCAGCUCUCUUUAACACCUUGUAAGGGCCUCCACCUCGAUCAUGUAAUUUUCCAUACUUCCCACGACGAAACCUUUCCUUACUCAGAUUAACCCAAACUAAGUCUCCCACCUGGAACUCGACAUCUCAGCGAUGCUUGUCAACAGCUUCUUUAUACUUCAUAUUACUUUCUGCUAGUUGCUUAUGCACCUGCUCAUGUGUCCUUUGAAUAAACCCAACCAUGUCUUGUGUAUCCCCACUAAAACGAUCAGUAAUUGGUAAAGGAACCAAGUCCAAAGGACUGCUGGGGUUUUGACCAUAUACUGCCUCAAAUGGACUCAUGCCAAUACUUCGGUGUUGGGAGCUGUUAUAUUCAAAUUCAACUUGUGGUAAUGACUCACUCCAGCUUGACUUCUUACCUCCUACCAAGGUUCUCAGUAAAUUUCCCAACGUCUUGUUCAUCACCUCUGUCUGUCUGUUAGUUUGCGGGUGAUGAGUGGUACUAAACUGAAGUUUUGUACCUAACUUCCACCAUAAAGUAUGCCAAAAGUGCCCAACAAACUUAGUAUCCCUGUUUGAAGUGAUGGUGUUAGGAAUACCAUGCAACUUCACAAUCUCUCGAAAAUAAAUGCGAGCAAUGUGACUAGCAUCCAUGGUCUUCUUGCAAGGCACAAAAUGCGCCAUUUUCGAGAAACGAUCCACCACUACCAAAAUCGAAUCAUAUCCUUGCUAUGUUCUUGGUAAGCCCAUAAUGAAAUCCAUACUAACAUCGACCCAUGGAGCUUGGGUUCAGGCAAAGGUGUGUAAAGUCUUGUGUUUUGGCUACGACUUUUAGCUAAGUGACAUACUCUACAACGCUGCACAUACUUCGACACCUCUUUCAACAACUUCGGCCAAUAGAAAUUUUCACUUACCAAGGCUAGUGUUUUUUUGCGUCCAAAAUGACCUCUUAAACCACUACCAUGCUGUUCCUCGAUGAUCAAGAGCCGCAUAGAGCAAUUAGGAAUGCAAAGUUUGUUUCCCUUGAACAUAUAUCCAUCCUUGAUAUGAAAAUCACGUGUAGGAUUUGAUGCCAUACAAUCUGCCCAUAUACUCCCAAAGUCAGAAUCGUCCUUGUAUAGCUCCUUUAAUUGCUCAAAUCCAACUACUUGAGCUCCCAUGAUAGAUAACAAGGCCUCUUUAUGACUCAAAGCAUCUGCUACCUUAUUUUGAACUCCAGAUUUAUGUCAAAUCACAAAAUCAUACUCCUGGAGCUCUUCUACCCAUUGUGCAUGCCUUCGGUUUAGCUUAUGUUGGCCGUUGAUAAACUUCAAUGACUCAUGAUCAGAGUAAAGAACAAACUCUUUAGAAAUUAGGUAUUGCCGCCAUUGUCGAAGAGCUUGCAUAAUAGCAUAGAAUUCAAUAUCAUAAGUGGAGUACCUUUGCCUUGUCUCGUUGAGUUUCUCGUUGAAGAAUGCUACAGGCUUCCCUUCUUGGCUUAAAACUGCUCCCACUCCAAUCUUUGAUGCAUCACAAUUAACCUAAAAAACUUUCUGGAAAUCUAGUAAUACCGAAACAAGUGCUUCAAUGAUGGCUUGUUUUAUAGCUUGAAAGCUUUUCUCAGCUGCCUCAGUCCAUCUAAAUGUGUUGCUUUUCAAACAAUCAGUCAUAGGGUGCUACAAUGGAACUAAAGUUUGUAAUGAAUAUGCGAUAAAAUGAAGCUAGUCCGUGAAAGCUACGAACAUCAUGUAUGGACUGUGGUGUAGGCCAUUUUAGAAUUGCUUCAACCUUUUUGGUGUCUACCUUGAUACCAUCAGCAGAAAUAACAUAGCCCAGAAAUAUUAAACUCUCAGUAAGGAACUCACAUUUCUUCAAGUUGGCAUAAAGCUUUUGCUCCCUGAGAACUUCAAGAACCUUCUUCAAAUGGUCAAUAUGUUGAGUUGCAUCUGGGCUAUAAACAAGAAUAUCGUUAAAAUACACCACAACAAACUUCCCAAUGUAUGGACGAAAUACCUGGUUCAUCAAGCGCAUAAACGUGCUCGAGGCAUUUGUCAAACCGAACGGCAUAACCAACCAUUCAAAUAAGCCAUCACGAGUUUUGAAUGCCGUUUUCCAUUCAUCACCAGGUCGCAUUCUUAUUUGAUGAUAACCACUCCUCAAGUCAAUUUUUGAAAAUAUCUUUGCCCCCGAUAAAUGAUCCAGCAUGUCGUCCAGGCGGGGAAUGGGAAAUUUGUACUUCAUUGUAAUUUUAUGGAUUAAAUUCACUUUACCCCCUUAAUCUUUAGUGUUAAAAUCAGUUCAGUCCUACAACUUUUUUUAAAAUUAGUUCGCCCCUUCAACUUUCGUAAACACAUCAGUUUAAUCCAAUUUUUGAAUUCCUCUCAAAAUAUGAUGUCACCAAACUGACAAGGGACCCAUUUUCACCAAACUGAAAGGUAAAACAGUCAAUUUGAAAAGAUAUUAUUAAAGAAAAUUAAAAAAAAAGAUUUAUUUGGCAAAAAAAUGAGGGCAUUUUAGACAUUUUGUUAAAAAUGGGUCCCCUUGUCAGUUUGGUAACGUCAUAUUUUAAGGGGAAUUCAAAAAUUGGACAAAACUGAUGUGUUUACGAAAGUUGAAGAAGCGAACUGAUUUAAAAAAAAGUUAUAGGACUGAACUGAUUUUGCCACCAAAGAUUAGGGGGGUAAACUGAAAUUUUUUCUAAUUUUAUUUAUGGCUCUGCUAUCAACACACAUACGCCACGUCCCAUCUUUUUUUGGUGUAAGCAAUGCCAUAACUGAAGACGGGCUCAUACUCUCACGAAUUACCCCUUUUUGCAGCAAUUCUGUCACUUGCUUGUUGAGCUCCUCAUAUUCCUGCGGACUCAUACGAUAGUGAGGCCUAUUGGGUAGGCUAGAACCUGGGACAAGGUCUAUUUGGUGUUGAAUAUCUCUCAUUGGAGGUAAACCUGCAGGCAACUCAGCCGGAAUGACAUCACCAAAUUCCUGUAGAAUGGGAGUUAACUCUGGAGGAAUAUUGUAAUUAUCUGGAUAUGUGUCUUUCACCAUGAGCGGAUACAACUCUUCACCACUUUCUUCUGAUUCUCCAAGGAAUUUGUUCAUAGAUAGGAAACUACCAGUCUCUUUUUUGCUUGAUUUGGGGUUAUUCUCAGGUCUAGAUGGCCCCAAGAUUACUUUCACAUCAUCCUUGACAAAGCUGUAAGUAUUUUUAUAUCCAUCAUGCACUGCUUUUCUAUCAAAUUGCCAAGGACGCCCCAAUAAUAAGUGACAUGCAUCCAUUGGAACCACAUCGCACCAUUGUGCAUCUUGGUACUUGCUGCCAAUAGAAAACGUCACCAAACAUCGCUGGUUAACAAUCACAUCAUUCCCUUUCUUGAACCAUGAGAGCUUGUAUGAUUCCGGUUUUCGUUCUGUCUUCAAAUUAAGCUUAUCAACCAUCCCAUGUGACACUAUAUUCUCACAACUUCCUCCAUCAAUAAUAACAUGACAUACUUUGCCAUUAGCAGUGCAUUUAGUAUGAAAGAUGUUGUGUCUCAACCAAUUGGGAUUGUCUUUUGUUUUCACUGUAUUCAUCACUCUCCGGAUCACCGGCCAACGACUCUCCAUGAUCACUCCACGUGAUUUCUUCAUCAGCUUCUUCAUCAUAGUCAUCAUAUACAGGUGGUCCAUCUAUCCGCUUACUUGUUUCGCCAAAUUCUUCUACCAAACUGACAAUUCUUCGGUUAGGACAUUAUGAUGCAAUAUGUCUUGCUCCUGUGCACUUGAAACACCUAACAUUCUUCCUACCUCCAUCCCUAACUUGGGAUAAAUUCUUUUGCACUUUUGUUGGUUUUCUAGGCUAGCUUUACACUUGUUGCCAUCUUGGUGACCCCAAACUUUCUUUGCUCUGAAUCAUCGCCUCUCGUACGCUUAAUGCGUGGCCUUUGCUGCUUCUCUAUCUGAAUCGCUAACUUGGAGGUCCAAUAUGGAUGCAGCACCAGAACAUCAGGUAUCUCUCUUCUCAACCCUCCAAGAUAACGCGCAAUAGUUUGCUAUUCAGUUUCAGUUACACCACACCUCAUACUUAUGAGAUCAAACUCUUCUGUGUAAUCAUCAACAGAACGCAGGUUUUGCUUCAAGCCAUGUAACUUUAGAAAAUUAUCUUGAAUAUAAGUGUCUGGUAAGAACUUCUCCUUCAUUGCUUUCUUCAUCUUUUCCUAGGAUUUGAUCUUUGGUUUUCCCAAGCGUUCACGCCAAACCUUCAAUGUUUCCCACCAUGCAGAUGUUUGUUUUGUCAAUUUGAUUGCAACCAUCUUCACCUUGUCUUCAUCAUAGACCACUUUGUAGUCAAAGAUUCACUCCAUAGUAUUGAGCCAAUUGAUAAACACAUCUGGUUAGAUCAUCCCUUAAAAUUCUGGCAAAUCCACCCUCAUAUCAAAGAGUUUGUUGCCAUGUCCCUCUUCACCCGGCUCACCUAACGGAGCACGGCGAUAAAAAAGGUUGAUCUCCAGCUCCCCGUCGAAACUCCCUCUGUUACGGCAUUGAGUUUCGAUGCGAGCCAUUCGAUCUGAGAGUUGUUGUAGCACCCUUUUAAUUUCCUCCAUAUCGUUGUUGUCAUUGUCAUGACCCUCCGCACGGAAUGCCCCCCAACCACGCCUGUUGUGAGCCAUGGAAUCCACCACCUUCAACCGAGCUCUGGUACCAACUAAUGGGAAUCAAUCUCCUGCACAGGUAUGUAGCAAUAGAACAACACACCACACCAGAAAUUAAAAGAUCAAACACCUUAACUGCUGCCAAAGUUGCACUUUUAUUCUCUAUAUCAAAGAUAACGCCAAUAGGCUAACAACUGCUAGUUUAAAUAGGAGAAGAAUUCUACUAGGAAGAAAAUUAAUGAAAACAUAAGAUAUCCAAAGAUACCAUACUAUCUAGGAAAUCUGUUAUGAAUCUAAACAAUAAAAACUAAGAUUACUGUCUAACAUAGUCUUUGAGAUACGUUGGGCUGUGAGUCUUCAUUUUGGCCUGCCAAUUAUAGAUGCCCCUGCAUCAUGUUCAAUACUUGGUAACACCAUCUUCAAUACUAUUAUUCCAUGGGCUGCAAACUAUGCAGUACCCUCAAACUUUAAUGCCUCUAAUGCUACAACUCCUUGGCUUGCUAAUUGUGUUGCAUCAUCUAUUUAUUGCACUCCUAAUAGCUAUACUAAUGUUAUUCCUGGAACUGUUAAUGGAUACAAUAAUGUUGGUGCUCCAAAUUAUACUAUGGCUUUUAUGGGGUAUGGAUCUCAGUAUGGCUCUCAUAGUUUUUCCAAUCCUACUAUUAGUACUCCAUCAGUGAAUCUCAUGAACUAUGGACCAAUACAUGCUUCUACAAGAUUUAUUAACCCCUCAGUCAGUACUCUGCAUGUCUCUACCAUGCCUCACAUGUACACAUCUAGUCCUAAUGCUAUGACUACCUCCACUUCUCCAAGCAACAUGAUCAUGCCUUUCUCACAAACAAGUGCCUCUCCUUACAUGAUGAACAACUCACAAUCUUCUGUGGGGUUUUACUCACCUCCUAAUCAGUAUGUAGUUCAACAUACCCCAACUAUGAAUCAUGGUUUUUCUUAAAAAUAGCCAAUACCUUAUUCUCAGCAUGCCUCAGCUGGAAAUUAGGGAUUUUCUGAAAAUCAACCGUUCUCACCUUACUCUCAGAAUACCGCCUUUAUUGAACACUUUAGCCCUCAAGAUGGUGACUCAUUUCCAUAGUUUCCUUCUGUUGGUAGAAGCAACAAUAACCACAACAAUGGAAACAACAACUCCAAGGGCAAUAAUUAUUGUAAGAAUGUUGUUUGCCAAAUUUGUGACAAACCUAGUCAUACAGCCUACAAGUGCAAUCAAAGGAACUCUUACCAGUCUGGAGAAGCUACUAGAGCAUCAGUAGAAUGCCAAAUCUGCAAAAAGCCUAGUUAUAUUGCCAAAACAUGCAAAUGGAGGAAUGCUAAUCUCAAUCAAAAUCAGCAGCAAUCUAGGAACUCAGUUAUGCUUGCCUGUGACUUUAAUUCCAAUGAGGGUGUGUGGUUGGUGGAUUUUGGUGCUACCAACCACAUGACAUAUGACAUUGGUCAUCUUCAGAACAUUACCUCUUAUGCAGCUGUUGAUUCAGUACAAAUUGGUAAUGGUGUCAGUCUCUCUAUUGAUAAGAAGGGUUCCAAUACUUUCUCAAUUGGGAAUUCUUGCAUUUCUUUAAAAAACAUAUUGUUUGUUCUAAAUUUAGCUGCAAAUUUGCUGUAACAUUUGCAAAGAUAAUUGUGUGAGACUGAUUUUUGAUACUUUUGAAUUUCUUAUACAGGAUAAGGUAACAGGCCAAGUCUUAUAUGAAGGUAUGUGUGACAAGGGUCUUUAUCCAAUUCUAGUUAAAGUAGCUCAUCAACUUCAACUUGCAACAAUCAGUAAAAAUUUAGCUUUCCUUGGGAAAAAGGUGUCUCAUUCAUUAUGGCAUAAGAGGCUAGGUCAUCCAUCUAAUGUUAUAUUGUCUAGUAUGUUGUCAAAGUCAAACAUUGUUUCUUCUGAUCAAUGUCAGUCCCUUUGUGAGUCUUGUUUAGCAAGUAAAUCUUCAAAGUUGCCUUUCCCUGUGUCUAGUACUAAGUCAACUAAGCCUUUUGAUAUUGUUCACUUAGAUCUCCACUGCAUCAAUUGAGGGUUACAAGUAUUACUUCACUAUCAUUGAUAAAUGUACUAGAUACAUAUAGAUUUUUCCAUUGAGAAAUAAAAAGGAGGUUUUACCUUUGUUUCAAACAUUUUGUGCCCUUAUUUUGUAUCACUAUUCAGCCUCUGUUAAAAUCUUUCAAUCAGAUGGGGGUGGGGAGUUCACAAGCAAUCUGUUUAAAGCUUUUUUGAAUAAAGAUGACAUUGUUCAUUAGCUUUCAUGUCUCUAUACACCACAACAGAAUGGCUUAGCUAAAAGAAAAAAUAGGCAUAUUGUUGAAACUGCUGUCAUUUUGUUGUGCACUGUGCACAUCUUCAUGUUAUUUUUUGGUAUCAUGCAUGUGCAGUUGUUGUGUAUCUAAUAAAUAGAAUGUCUAGCUUAAAUCUGUCCAUGAAGUUACCUUAUGAGGCUCUUUUUAAACAAAUUCCUUCUAUUGAUCAUAUUAGGGUUUUUGGUGCUACUUGUUAUCCACUGAUGAAACCCUACAAACUUUAACAAGCUUCAAGCAAAAACUGCACCUUGUGUCUUUCUUGGUUAUGCAUUGGGAUACAAAGGCUUCAUUUGUUUUAAUGUCAAAGAAAACUAUCAUUUCCAGAAAUGUCAUUUUUUAUGAAACUAAUUUUUUCUACAAUAAGAAUCUUAGUUCAUCUUUUGAUAGUGUUGAGCAGGUAACACAGUUUUUCUCAGCUCCAUGUUCUCUUCCAUCAGCAACAGAAGACAAUUCACACACACCUUCAUCAGGCUCAAAACUUGUCCAAGAUCAGUCCUAAUAUGUUCACACUCACUCUUCUGCUCAAGCUCCUGUGAUACCAAAAAAUGCUCAAGGUGAUAGUUCUCCAGUUGAAAAUUCUUCUACUCCUGAUAAUAAUGUGUCCUCAACUGAGAUGAGAAAUAAUGAUGAUGUUAUGUUGAGGAUCCUUUGAUUAUUGAUAAUAAUGAUACAUGCCCUGGUCAGAUAGUUGUGUCUAAAGAACCUGCAAACAUUGUUUCCUAUACUUAUGAGUCAUACAUCCCAAUUUCAGAAAUCCAUAUUGAUAUUGUUCCACCCUUACCUGCAUCUCAGGACAGAAUGGCCUCUUUUAUCCCUUUGUCCAACCUGAAUAGUAAUGAUCAUCCAAUGAUAACCAGGAGCAAAUAUGAGAUUUAUAAGAAUAAGGUGUUCUUUGCAGCUAAUGUUGUAAUUAAAAUGACAGCAGAUAAGGAACCAUAUUCUUUUAAGCAGGCUCUUCAAGUUCCAGAAUGGAAACAAGCAAUGAAGGAAAUAUAUGAUGCUCUCAUUCAACAAGGAACUUGGUUUUUAGUUCCUCCUCAACAGCAUAAGAACCUAGCUAGUAAGUUGUAAGUGGAUUUUUAAGUUAAAGAAAAAUCCAUAUGGGUCAAUUGCAAGGCCCAAGGUAAGACUGGUUGCCAUAGGUUUCAACCAAUAAGGAGUGGAUUAUGAUGAAAUAUUUAGUCCAGUAGUGAGGCAUACCACUGUCAGAUUAUUUCUUGCUCUUGCAGCACAAUUCAACUGGAAACUUCAUCAAAUGGAUGUGAAAAAUGUCUUCCUUCAUGGGGUGCUUAAAAAAGAGGUCUAUAUGUCACAACCACAAGGUUUUGAAGUCCCUGAGCAUCCACGUUAUGUGUGCAGAAUGGUUAAAUCCCUCUAUGGUCUAAGACAAGUUCCUAGAGCUUGGAAUGAGAGAUUUACCUUUUUCCUUCCAUCUUUGGGAUAUAAAAGCUCACACUCAGAUCCUUCUCUUUUUGUUAAAGUCUUUGGGUCCUCUAUGGUCUAUCUACUACUCUAUGUUGAUCAUAUCAUCAUAAUAGGGAAUGAUGAAACUGAAAUUGGUGUAGUGAAGCUUGCUUUGCAGUUAGAAUUUGACAUGAAAGAUUUGAGCAGGCUGCAUUACUUUCUGGGACUGCAAAUUGAAUAUCUACCAUCUAGAGUGAUCUUUAUAUCACAAUCUAAAGCAGGAAUGAAUGGUAAGAAGAGCUACUCAACUCCUUGCUUACCUUAUGCCAAACUGUUAAGAGAUGAUGGACCAUUAUUCAGUGAUGUUACACACUACAUAAACAUUGUUGGUUACCUUCAAUAUUUGACCUUCUUAAGACCUGACAUUGCAUACAGUGUUAAUACUGUGUGUCAUCAAUUCAUGCAAGCUCCAACUCAAGCUCACUAUUCUGUAGUCAAACGAAUCCUCAGAUACUUAAUUGGUACUAUGAAUUAUGGGUUAACAUACAAACCAGCUCCUAAUCCUGUUGAACUCAAGGCCUUUUCAGAUGUAGAUUGGGCAUGUGAUCCAAAUGAUAGAAGAUCAACCACUGGCUUUGUAAUUUAUCUUGAAAACUGUCCCAUUUCUUGGUGCUCCAAGAAACAACACUCAGUCUCUCGUUCAUCUACUAAGACUGAAUAUAGGGCCAUGGCAAACACUGCUAGUGAGAUUUUUUGGCUAAGACACCUACUGUCAGACAUCUAUGUAAGUUUAUCCACUUCCUCCUCUCCUACAUUGUGAUAAUUAUGCAUCAGCUCUUUCUCUUGCCUCAAAUCCCAUUCAUAAGUCAAAGUGUAAAUAUGCGGAGGUUGAUAUUCAUUUUACAAGGGAGAAGGUUGUUAAAGGAGAGCUCAAUCUACAGUUUGUUCCCUCACUCAAACAGUUUGUUGAUAUCUUCACUAAAGGCCUCAGUACUGCACAUUUUGAAUACCUAUGCUGCAACCUAGUGCUUGGUAACCCUAGCACUAGUUUGGAAGGGGGGGGGGGGGUUGUUAAGAUAAUAGAGCUCAGUGAGCUAGGUAAAAUGCUGACAUCUGUCUUGGUAAACAAGAAACUGAUGCCUUCAAUGGUAAAAAUUCAACAGCUUGAUCCUUAGAAAGUAGGUUUGUGAUUCUCAAUCAAAUGAGAUGGUCCUGAGUUUCUAGUAUUGUUGUCAUCUCCUAUCUCUUACCAUCCUACAACAUGAGUGUUCUCGUGGCCAAGAAGAAAUGAUCACAGCCUUACUCGUGGUUUCAUAGCUGCUCUCAAACGAGAUAUUUUGCAACACCACUCCCCUUAUCUCUUGUCUUAUAUAUAUGAAGUGUAUUGCAUUUCUCUUGUAUCAUCAUUAUCACUACUUCUGUACAAUUACCUUAAUUUCAAAUACAAGCUGCUUUUUCUUUCAUUUUUCUCUUGUAAUGUUCUUGCUGCUAUUCUGAGCAAUUUUCAGUAAUUCUUUCCUAUCAUAGAACUGUGUUUCACCAUUUUUGUGUAAGUAUUUCACCUACUAUCAAGACUGCAGACUGUGCAUGAUUUUCAGUAAAGGUGAGAGGGCUGUGUCGGGGGUGUGGGUUGUUUUCCCAUGGCCUUACAGCAGGUUGCAAUGGUCUUCUGGAGUCGGCAGCGAUGUCGUCGUUGUGGAGCGUAGGACGGCGUUGGUUUGUUGCGGCUGAAGCUAGGUUAGGGGAUAUAUAUGCCUUUUUCGGCGGGAACCCAACCUGGGUUGAAAUCUACAAGGUGGGCCAGAUUUGUUGUUGGGUUGGCGGGGGUCAUUGGGCCUGCUGGGUUGCUUGGGGUAGGAGAUGAUGAUGCUGGUUUAGGUAAUGGGCUGUUUGGGACUAGUGCUACUCUUGGCAGCCCUAAUCUGCUAGGGUGCUCAAUUGGCGUGCUGACGCGCGUGAGGAGGACGCGAAGCGCUGUCGGACUAGUUCCGGUGAGUAGUGAUGUCGGACUCGAUCUACAAGCCGACAAGGUCAGAAAGAAAAGGGGUCGUCCUCCAAGGAUCUAGAAUAUAUAAGGCUAAGGUUGCAACCUUAGUGUUAGGUGGUGAAGGCACAUCAGUUUCUAGUGAUUUUGCAGUUGCUGGUGAGACAAAAAUUAACUUCAAAGUACAUACCUAGGCGUUACCCCCCUAGCCUAAUUAGAUGUUCGAUCUUUACCAAUAAUAAAUUGAAGUAGGGAUUUGGCUUGGUCUGAUGUUUACCUUGAUAACGUCGUGGUUUUGGUUACAUUUGAGCUUAUAGUCUAAGGUUAUUUGCUUUUGGUGGGAGUUAGAUUAUACCUAGUUUUCGCCUUCACGACUCAUUUAUAGCGUAACCAGGAUAUCCUAGUGAGUCGUACGUGUUGCUAUAUAAUUAUUUUUUUUUAGUUAAUAGAUUGAUGUCUUCUCGAACAAGAAUUUAAUUCCCCUCGAUAUAACUGAAGAAAGUUGUAAACAUUUCUAACCAAAUCAGGAAACCAAAAGGCAGAGGGAAAUGAUUAUGUCAAAGAUUUUCUUAUUCGGGCGAUGGCUAGCUAAUGUAGGAUUUGUUGGCAAAACCAGACGAGCACUUUGUUGACUUUGGAUUUGGUUGGCACUGAGAAUCUUAGUUAGGCCGACACCCAUCAGCUGGGGCUAUGUGUUUGCUAUUAACUGUUUUAAUUUGACAUGGCUUAAGGGCCUUAGAAAUCUUUCAGGCUCCUAUAGUGGACUUCAGAUCCAUAUUAAUGUGCCCUAUUUGUGGCUUUUGGCCAACAUAAUGCUCCAUCGAUCAUAUAUCUGGGAUCAAUGAUUCCCAGAAAUGACAAUAAAUAUAUCGGCCAACGCUAUAGUAGGAGUCGGCCGGCGACACCCUUCUUAAUGUUCAAGAUCUUUUUUGUCACAGAAGGCAUGAGUACAAGAUCCUUUACAUGUAAUAGCUGUUGCUUGUGCAAGCUUGGAAGCAAAGCUGGCUAGCUAGCUAUCAUCUUCAUGCUUUCAGAGACUUAUUUUUUCCCAGUUAAUUAGUGACAUCUGUAUUUGGUUAAUUUCAUUGAUUUCAGAACAGUUGUUUAUCACGAAAAUGGAAAAACUCAGUUAAAUUAAGCUGAGCUGCCUAUAAAUUCAUGUACCCUGGAAAACAAGGAACUAUCUGUAACCAUUCUGUGGGCAAAGAAAGAAAAUUAUAUAUAUCUAAACUUUUCUGUACAAAAGCAUCAGUUAUUAGCUAUUAUUUUGUCACCCACUGGGCCACUAACUGAUUCGGUAUCGUCCUUGGUUUUACAUGAAUAGAUGUAAAUUAGUUUUAUGACUCUUUAUCAAUCAUGCAUAUACCAUUUUAAUCACUCCCCAGAUUACAAUAUUUCGUCACGAGUGACUUCAGCAAACCCUAAAACAGAGAACCAACUAAUCUGACUUCAACCUCGAUCUUCAGCAAUCAUAAUUAUUAAACAUAUUUGAUUCGAUUAUCAUUAUUAUUAGUAUUAGUUUUAUCUAUAGAAGUUGGAUCACUUGGAUGUGAUUCUGGUUUGAUGUGGUUUGAUGCAAACCGCGUAAGUUAGAAGAAUGAUGAUGAAGAAGCAGCAGCCUGGUGACUAGCGAGCUUGGUCUCUGCAGGCUGUAUUUGUUAACCGAUGAAAUAUAUUCUGAACAAAGCUUGUACUAAUCAGCCCCCACUAUGGUAUCCAGUGUCCCAAGUUCUACCAACAUACGGAAUAAUAUUAUUGCGAGAUGGAAUAAUAAUAUCGAUCAUUGUGGAGAAGAUUCUCAUACACUUCUUCUUCGUAGGACCAUCUAAAUAAACUAGAUCGAGCAUUCGAGCUAGCAGUGAUGAGAGUUCUUUGACCAAUUUAAUUAUUACCUAAUGCUGCAGCAUCAAUAUUACUUAAGUAGACGCAUAUGUUUUGCUUUACAAAAGUAUCAAAACGGAUCAACUUUGGAUUCGGCUUGUUAUGCUGCUCAUGAAGUACCUACUAUUGAGCUACACCAGGGAGAGAUCCGAAACUCAAAUCUCGAUAUUUGAGUUCCAAAAGUUAAUUUAAAAGUUUACAUUUUGGCUCUUUUUUAUUUUCAGAAUUUAUCGUAAUAACUUGCUAACACAUGUUACUUAGUUGUGGAUGCAAUUGUUAACUUUGGACAUAGCUCGUCCGAAAACGUAAUUUGGUUAAAUAUGAUACAUUUUACUACCUGUAGAGCUUUGAUAUUUGACCAUUUGUAAAUUAUAUAUUAUGGUUGGUCUACGGUUUUCAACUUUAAUUGUUUUUUGAAUGAAAAUCAAUAGAUUUAUAUAUUGAAACUCGUACUUUUCUAAUAAAAAAAAAAAAAAAUCACAUUCAGAGACGAAAGUACUAAAAAUCCUUCAUUUGUUUUAGAGCAGUUCGCACGUAAAAUCGAUCAAACUAAAUUAGAGUAAAAUAAUUAAAAAAAGUUCCCAUAACUUUGGUAUAUUUUGAAUGGGGGUUGGGAAUAUGAUAUUAAUUUUUUUUUUUUUUGACAACCAAACCAUUACAAACAAAGAAAAAACAAAAACACAUAGGCUUAGAGACAGAAAGCAGAAAGCAAAACUAUAGAAGACUAAGGAGGAGCCGCUGCAUCUGACUGUAGAACAUGAAGUAAAGUGGUAGGAGGAUUAUGAAUCCAAUUCAUAGAACACUCCAGUCUUGAAGCAAGAUGAGCUGCACAAUCCGCUACAGUAUUUGUUUCCCUACUGAUCCAAGACCAGUUAACCAAAGAAAAGGAAUCAGCCAUAAUCUUGAUCUUUUGAAGCCAAUAUGAUAUGGUUGGGAAUAUGAUAUGGUAGGUGCAUGUUACCAAAAAUUUAAAUAGCAGUCUUUAUGGUUUGCAGUCAUCGCUACAUAUAUACCUAAGCGGCAUCAUCAGGACCACCAAAACCCUAGCACCUUCCCAUUAUUAGGUUAGGUCAUGCCGUAAAAUACAUGAGAUUUUGCCAAAAGUAAUGUAGAAAGCAGUCACUUUCUUCAUCGGAUAGGAUCGAGGACAUGUUUGGGGUUUCAAAGCAAAAGAAGACCUGGUUUCUUCGAUUAUCUGGGAAUGUUCAAAGGGAUCGAGUUGGAGUUCGUGGCCAGAAGAGAGCCUCAUCGUCAAUAAUAUAGCGAUGAUAAUUACGAUUGAUAAGAUAGUAGGUAGAUGAGAAAGAAACAAGGUGAGCCAGUAUCGAUGGGGUUGGGAGGGACGUUGACAGGGCAAGGGCACAGCUAGGGUUAGAGAUGUUUCCCUCUCUUGGGGACGUGACCUGUCUCUAAGUCAGCACCACGCCCUCUAAAGGUUUUUAGGAUAUCACUGAUGUUGUUUGCACACUUAGCUAGCGACUGAUCGAUGCUCAUGAUGUGUCCUACAGGUUACAGGGCUAUACUUGCUGUACCAAUUUUGACAUUCAUGCAGAAUCACAUAUAUAUUCACAUAUAAUCUAGCUAGAUAAUUAAUAAGGAGCUAGCUAGGGAGCCAUUUUUGUAAAAUGCCAAAAAUACAGAACCUGCAUUUUCGAAAAUGGCCGGGUGAUGCAAUGAUCUGUUAAAACCCUGUACUUGAUUGUACAAGAGCUGCUUCAGUUAUUAAAUUUGUAGUAAAAAUUAGUUACGAUCGAGUUAUGAAUUCUAGCUGUGGUUUUACUAUGUGUAAGAUACUGAUGUUAGCAUGCAUUUGAGAUUUGACAUACACGUACGGCCUUUUUCUUCAGACUUGUAGUGUACGUCAACCAUAUUGCACAUACAGUUAGACAUGCACCUGCAGGUUAUUGAGCUAUCAGGUAAUUGAGGUAGCCAUAUUGCACAUAAAAGUUAGAUGUCAAGUCUAAACUGCCAUCAAAGGCGCGGCUCAAAUUUCGUGCCUCCAUCCUGGCUUGCAUGUAUAUAACCCCGCAAAUUAACAAUAUUGAGUUGAUAAUAACGACUUUUAAGAAAUAGCAUCUUUCAUUUUAGAGGAGACGGGAAGCUAUAUGUAUCAAAGGGGGUGGUCAACCAAAAUAUUAUUAGAGCAUCUUUCAGACUCUUUAUUUUGAUUUUUUAGUUAUUUUAAAGAGCAUGUUUAGCUUUUCGAGUAUUUUAGAAUCUCCAGCAGACUAGUCAAAGUUUAGAUAUUAUGACUUUUAGCUAUCUCGUUAGCUAAAUAUAGAAAGCGAGAUGAGACUCUCUAUAUUUUAUUACAUUCAUUUUAAGAUAUUUUAUGUGAUAUAUAAAUACAUAUAAAUUAUUUAAUCUUUAUUUUAAAAAAUAAUAUUAAUUUAAUACUAGCUAAAGUAAAGAGCAUUAAUGCAGGCGUAUGACAUUUUAGCUAAUUUGAUUAAAAUUUAACUAAAAAAUAGUUAGGAUUGGUAAAAAUCCUCUUACUAUUAAUAUAUUAUACAAAAUUAACCAAAAUCAUGUGCUUGUAUGUGUAGCUAAAUUCGGAAUGUGAUAAAUUACUCAUGCAUAUAUGGCUUGAUUUAUUCGUUCAUGUGCGAUUAUGCACGUUUGGAAGGUUCCCAGAAAACUAAAUUAUUCACAUUUCUAUGGAGUAUGCACACAACUAUUCAAAAAAAGAAGAAGAGAGAAAUGGAGUAUGGACACAAUUGGAAAUGGCUCAGUCGUCUGGUAUAUAUAUGCCUAUCAAAUUAUAACUAUAGACAUGGCAGUUCGAAACGAAAUUAAACGGUAAUAUUCAUGUUACAUGUUAAUGAAAGAUAAAAAUAGAUUAAGGCGCGAAUACGUAGUAAGUAUCAUAUAUUACCACGUACCCGUCGGCGAUGAAUUACAUAUCUUACAGUUAAUGGGAUGUAAGUAUUGAUGUUACAAAAUGAAUAGAGAUGAGAUAUAUAUUACCAUCGGAAGCAUGUUAUUAGGCUAGUAAGCUGGUUGUAGCUGUACAUAUAUAAUGUGACUUCGACCAAACUUUUUCUUUUUUGUUUGUUGGUCGGCUCAGAAUAAUUGAAUGGAGACUAUAUUCAUGAUCGAUAUAACAUGAUACUCGGAUGAAACUUGUAGCCAUGUUCCAACAUGAACCCAGAUUUGAGACACUGCCUUUAAUUUUCUCUUCUUUUUCGACCUAAAUUUCCUAACUUGAAAAAACCAAUCGAAGUAGCAGAUGAGCUUAACAACUCCACACACGUAGUGGGAUGGCAUGUGCACUCACAUGAUGGAUGAUAACUGAGAUGGUAAACGAAGAUAUAUAUCCUCAAUUCUAGCAAGAAUGUGGCACAAAAUUCCUAAUAGAUCUAUAAGAUCAUCUCCCACCAUAGGCUAAAAAGCUAAAUUUAGCCUAUGUUUACUCCCACCAUAAGCUAAAUUACAUUUUUCAAGAUAAAAAAUUUGACUUGAACUAUUUGGUAAGCCAAAUUUAGCUUAUGAAAUUUGUAAGCUAAAAUUAAAUGUUAUUUUAUUCAACUUUACAUUUCUCCUUUUAAUUUACACUAUCAUCAAAAUUAAAAAUUUGUUACUCACAAUCAUCGCGAAGAUCUCGACGAGAUCUUUCAUAUGAGCUCUAUAUCGAAUAUAUUUAUAUAAUAUUUUUUUUAUGAGUAAUUAUUGAUUUAAACAAAUAUAGGAGAAAAGAAAAAUAAAUGGCUUUACCUUUGGAUUUAGUUUAUGGUGGGAGUGUUUUUCAAAGCUAAAAGGAUACAAAUUUGGCUAAGAAUUUAGCUUACGAUGGGAGACUUUGGUAAGCUAAAAAAGAUUUCACAGAAUAUUCUUGUUUAUACGUAAGGGAUACAUUUACGUUGAUACUGAAAUCAUAACCAUAAGUUUAUGCCAUGCACUAUUAUCUCUCUCUUUGUUUUAUUUUUGUCUUCUGUUAAACAUGAAGAGAUAGAUGGCAUGGAAUCGAUCAUUCCCUUGUCUUUGUUUCAACUCAUCCUUUUCCCUUCUCAGACUUCAAAAUUCUUCACUUUAUUAGUUUAUUUGAUUAUUUUGUAUAUAAAUCGCUCAAAUUAAUGUUUUUAAAAUCACAUACUAAACUAACAAGUUAAAAGUACGUCAGAUACAAAAUGCAAAAUGAUUAGUUUGCAGUGGAAAAUCCACUUCUCAUAAUAACCUUUAUUCGAACGGAAUUAUAACUCGAAGAACAAUAACUCUUGAGUUAAGGAUCAAAACGGUAAAUCCACCUGAGAUAUAUAGUUUGAUUCUGCAUGUAAGUGAAUGAAUCUGACCGGUGCUGCCUUGCAUCAUGUGAAGGUUGACUACUACUAGAAGAAACAAACAGCUCGAAUAAGGAUCAAAAUUAACAGAGAAUUGGAGAUAGCUAGAGCCCAUGCAUAUUAGCCACUACCUUUCACAAAACCUAAUCCCGUCGGCAAAUGAUUGUGCCAUCAAUUAGGUCUGGUUUAACCUCCAAAUCAACAGGUCAGAUCAAACCGCACCCAAUCCCCCACGUGUCAAAUCAUAGGAUCAGAGAAACUCCAUAACACAUACACAUGCAGACACAGACACAAACGUCCCACACGCAGAGUUGAGUUGAUAUAUUAUUGUUGUGGGGGGUGUGUCUCUCUCUCUAUCUAUCUCUCUCACAUCGUCGAAACCAACAUUAUUAGCAGAAGAGGACACAAGAAGCAGAGGAAGAAGAAGAAGCAGAAGCAGAAGCGAGAGAGAGCAGCUCUACAUCUCCACAAAUAUAAGCGCAAGCAUACAGACACUCACAGGCUUUUUUUAUCGGAGCACUUAUCUUCCACCGUGGCUCAGUUAGUUUCGAUGGAAGUUGUUAUCCGGAAGAUGAAUCUGAACUUCAAGGAGACCGAGCUGUGCCUUGGGUUGCCCGGCGGGGCUGCUUUGACGACCGAGCCGGAGAUCUGUACCCCUAAGGCUACCGGAAAGAGAGGUUUCUCCGAGACAGUUGAUCUCAAGCUCAACCUUCAUGCCAACGAAGGUUUGAUGAAUGAGAGUGUCAAAAAUGUUUCUUCCAGGGAGAAAAACCUUCCCUGCAUUAAGGAUCCAGCCAAACCACCUGCCAAGUAAGUGAUGAUUUCUAUAUGCUUCCACACACUGUAACAGUACGUUCUUCAUAAACCCCCGGCUUUUUCAUUUACACACUUCGUAUAAAACAUUUUUCUUCUUCAACCUCUCACAUAUGCCGAUUAUUUCAUCACAAAGAGGUUAUGUAAAACCGUUUUAUUCAAGAAAUUCUAUUUUUCAGAACAAAGACUUCAUUUCUUUAAGAUUAAACUUUGGUUUUGUUACCACUAGGGCUUACAACAGUCACAGUAAUCUGGGUAAACUUGUUAUUGAUGUAUUAUUAUUUCUUCAGGGCACAAGUUGUGGGUUGGCCACCAGUUCGCUCCUUCAGAAAGAACGUUAUGGCGCAGAAGAGCACCGGCGAGGAGAGUAGUACUACUACUGAGAAGGCUGCAUUCGUGAAGGUUUGCAUGGAUGGUGCACCUUACCUUCGUAAGGUAGAUUUGAAGAUGUACAAGAGCUACAAGGAGCUGUCUGAUGCCUUGUCCAAGAUGUUCAGCUCCUUCACCACAGGUAAUUAAGUGCAAUAUACUUGAUUAAUUCUAGCUUAAUUUAGAAACACUGACUGACUUGUUUUAGAUCUUGACUGGACAUGAUUUUGAUUCCAAAAUUAGUGCACAUGAAAUCAUUGUUGUUUAGUUAAUUGUUAACAGCAACUGAUCCAAUAUUUAAUUUCUGAAUCUUUUAAUAAUUAUCAUGUUUAUAUGUUGUUAAUUGAAGGUUACUACGGGGCCCAAGGAAUGAUAGACUUCAUGAAUGAGAGCAAGCUGAUGGAUCUGCUGAACAGUACUGAGUAUGUGCCAACCUAUGAAGAUAAGGAUGGAGACUGGAUGCUUGUGGGUGAUGUUCCAUGGGAGUAAGUUCUUCUUCAAUCUUCAUCUACCUCUCUACGUACCUUUCUUCAAACCCUAAACUCAAGUAAUAAACAUGAAGAAAAAAGAAGCAAAAUAAAAAGUGCUAAUUAACAGCACCCACUGCAUAAUUUAUUCGAUUCCUAGCUUGGUUACUAAUUUUUGGUUUCAUUUGUAUGCAGGAUGUUUGUUGAUUCAUGCAAGCGAUUGCGAAUAAUGAAAGGAUCAGAAGCAAUUGGACUUGGUACGUUUAUGCUAAUAAUUAGAGAAUAAUUUUCCAAAUUUUGGUGCAAAAGGCAUUUAUGAACUUCUUCAUUCUUCCAGAGGUAGAAGUGCAAAAUCGUAUAUUUCUCAAUGCAUAAUAUUGCUAUUUUAGCAUGAUGCACAUAUAAAAUUACCCUUUUCUGAAACAAAAGAUAAUAAUAUAGUUUUUCAGAAGUGGUUAUCCUAAGGUUUGAAGAACUGUUGGUUAUUAGUUUUCUGAAUCUGUAUAGUAGAAUAAUCAAUUCUAAUAUUCUGUUUUAAUUACUUUCAGCUCCAAAAGCGAUGGAGAAAUGCAAGAACAGAAGCUGAUCGAUCAAGAUCAAUCGACCAGAAAUAUUUGAUUAUUAAGUGCUGCAUGUUCUGCGGAUCAAGCAGCCUGGUGUUCUUUGGAAGUGUCUGUAUUUUAUGUCAUGAUGAAGAUGGUAUAUAGAUAGUAAUUAAAGAUUGCUGAAUAUCUGUAAUCGACAAGAAGCAAUAAACUUAACCUAGUGUCUCUGCCUUGUUUAUCGCCAAUGGCUUUCUUUAUAAUUCCCCCCAAUUAUUUUUUGUUGUUGGCCUUUGUUGUCAUGGUUGUUGUGUGUUUUAUUCCUUCAAAUUCAAUGCUACUUUUUUCUUCUUUUUUUUCCUCAAAAGGAUUUUUCAUCUCAUAUGAUCAAUUUCCUUUUAUGCCAUGUUACUCAAUGAUUUCUUUGUAUUAUUUUGUAAUAAUUCCUCUGAGCUAGCUAGGUAGGUACUAACAAAUUCAUAAGAGGGCAAGUGAGGGGAGGGAACAAGAGCAUGUGAAUGCUGAUGGGGUUUUGAUUCAUGGCCAAUAAUUUACAUUUCAUCCCCCAUAUAUCUCAAAUAUAUGAACAUGGCAAUGAACUUUAUAAUGUGAUUUGGUAGUUAUGUAUAGGAAUAGUGUGUAGCCUUGCUUGUGGAUCCUCUUUGGUUAUAUUAGUUUCUAUAUGAUUGAGUUUUAUAGGAUCACUAACAUAUGAUUUAAUUAGGCAAAUAAAAUCUUAUCUAGAUAACAAAUCCCCCUUCCUCUCUCCCUGUCUCUCAUGCAUAUGCAUUUCUUGGAUCUGACGUAUUGUUUGGCAGCUCCAUGUUUCUUCUUUCAUGGAAGAUCAAUUACUUUUGGCAAUUUGGGUAGUUUAUAUUUUUUUUUUGGGUAGUUUAUAUUUUUGGCAACUUAGGUAGUUUAUAGAUUAGCCAGAACCAAAUGAUGGAGCAAGGCAACAAAAAAAAAUAUCUACAGAGACUAGAGACUGCGAUUUCACAUUGCAAAAGUGAUUUCCAUUCGAAAACUAAUAAUUUUCAGCACCGGCCAAGAUUUAAAAAGUUAUGUAAUUGGAGUAAGUAGCUCAUGCACAUGAUGUAUAUACAGAAGCCUCUUUCAGUAUCCUCUAUAAUAUGUAAAGACAGUAAAGUAUGUUUUCUCUGUCGAGCUAUGUUAAGAGAUUUGAUAUUGCAAGCACAAGCUGCUUUACCUAGGGAAUUCUAGUUUCUUUCUUAAUUUGGUAGUUCUAGGAUCUCUCUGGUUUGGUGCUGCAAAGUCACUUGGUCAUUCGAGACUUCUUGAGUAGUUUAAGGGUGGCUGGUUUGGUUUUGUUUUUAAUCUUAUUGGUGAGGUGGAAUAGGUUGGUGGCUGAUCUAGACCGAGGAAUGACUGACAUUGGUGGCUUUGAUGGCGGAAGUUGUAGGUUUGGUCAGGGUUUCUUAGUGAGAGUUGAAGCUCGUUGUUCUUCUUAGUGUGGCUCUACGAUGUUCAGGUCAUACCGAAGAUGAUGGAGUGGUUCGAAUUCGUUGAAGAUCUUUUGAUGAUAUCGGGGCCAUUACAGGGCAGUUGUUCCCUUCGUAGAUCCGAGUAUUGGUCCUUAGAGGUGCCUGACAGCGACUAAAAUGGCCGUUCGAUGUUUGCCUCAACAAGGUGACAAUCUUCAGCUACGUACCGACAUCAAUCCUUACCAUAAGAGGAACAUUUGAGUUUGAACUUAGGCCGCGUUUGUUUUCCAGGAGAUGGUUCCCUGACAAGAUUUAUUAUUUCCAAUCUGGUUAGUUGUUGUGUUUGGUGGUUCAGACAUCGAGUAAGCAGAAAAUUUCUAUCCUGUCAGAUCUUGAUUUCAAAUCCUGCUGAGAUGGUGUUAUUAAUUUUAUCCAGCUGGAUAUGAGCAAAAGUGCAAAACAAAAGAACGACGCUUCCCACCUAAACACUACUGCUUCGUCUUCGAUCUCAUCUGAAAAUUAGAAGAACCCAACUUCAAACUGGAAUCUUGAAUCGCAUAGCAGAUGUUCAAGCUACUCAUCCUCACCCUCACGGACAGACCCAUACAGACCCAUAGAUGUUCAAUCUAUUCAUGCCGUAUCUCAUCUCGAGUUCUUCUUGCACCGACGCCGGCUUGUACGUAAUUCACAACAAAUCUGCCAAUCUCCGUGACCUCGCCGCCGCCAUCACCUCCCUGCUCAUCGCCAUCACCUUCCUGCUCACCGCCAACACCAUCCUGCUCACCGCCAUCACCAGCAACACUAUCUCUGUGAGCGCCGGCAUGGAUGAAUGGAUCAUCAUGAUCCAGAUCUUACACUAUUUGAUUUUAGUUUAGAAUUGAAGUUGGUUAUUGAGAUUGAUUCUGAAUUUUUUCGAUAUAUAGAUUUUUUUUUUUUAAAAAUUCUGGAUGUUAUCCAUUUCCUAAUCCUAUUUCACAAACAGGAGAUUGGUUUUUCAGUUAUCAUCUACUUAUCCAAUCUAGUCUCUAUCUUAUCUUGGGUAAAAUCCUAAUCCAAUCUUGUCUGGUUUACCAAACGGGCCCUUAAAGAGUUAAGAUGCUAGCAUCCUUUGCCCUAGCAGGGCAAAACAUUUGUUCGAUUGAUUUGCCCCUUUGGGUCUCAUUUACCUCAAGUCGCUAGUGACUACACCAUCACCAACACUAAAUCUAAAGCUGGUAUUGAUGGCUCAUCUCUUAUGAUAGACAUGAUAACUUUGCCGCUUGGCAGGGUUGGGUACCAGUAAGUGUGUACCAGAGCUGUUUCAUAUGGAGAUGUGCAAAGAUGGUCAUCAGAACAACACCCCUGUACAUAUGGUUGAGGACUGUUAUCAAAGCAAGAAGGUUCAAGGUAAAUGCAAAGUUUGCCCUGUGUGCACCUGACCUUCAAUGACCCCUGCUCCAAAGAAACUUGAUAGACAAACGAACUACAUACUCACCAGACCAUUUUUUUUUUAGAGGAAGACGACAAAAGUUUAUUAUGUAACUAGUGAGUACAUUGUGGAGUAACGUAGUUACUCACGGCUGGAGGAAUAAUUCCCUUCCCAAGAUAAAUUCAAAUCACAUUGCAAAGCACAUUUGGCUAGAUUAUGUGCUGCUGAAUUAGCAUCCAACCUAUAUAUAGGUAACUAACACCUGGUAAGUCUUCCGGCAUGCAUCCAAUGUCUUCCAAAAUCCUACCCAAUUCAGAGAGAUCAGAACCUCGUCCUUUUGGAUACCAUGAACCACAACCAAUCAGUCUCAAUCAUAGCUUGAGACAACUGAUCUGCUGCCCGCCUGCACCAUCUCACAAGCCUGCCUGACAGCCAUAGCUUCGGUAAACACAGGAGCUUGAACAAAAGCCUCCCGCCCUCCCUGCCACAAGCACCAGCUACUACCCGAUUCUCGCUAUCACGCACAACUCCCCAACUGCCUGCCAAACCAUCAAAGGCACUAUCCACAUUCAGCUUAAGUGUACCCUCACUUGGUAAUUGCCACUUCCAUAUUUGCUUAGGAACUUUGCUCCGUUUUGGAUUUGCAGCUUUAAAAGCUUGAAAAUGUGAGGAUAAUUGGAAAGAAACUUGUGCCACUGACAUGUACUUACCAGACCAUAAUCGCAAAUUCCUCUCCUUCCAAACACUCCAUAUCAUCAUCAAUAACAAGGCAAAGAGGUCAUUAUUUAACCUCUUCUGGCACAGUAGAAGCCAAUCUGUAUUGAACCGGCUCUACUGGUUCUGGACACCACCCAUGCCAACUCUGUUACACUAUCAAUUAAAUCACGCAUAAAUUGGCAGUCCCUACUAAUGUGUUCAAUAGAUUCAUCACCUUCUGAACACAAGUAACAACCUUCUCCAAGAAAUACAUUUUUCUUUCUUAGAGUCACUAAAGUAGGGAGAAGAGCAGUGCACACACCCUCUAUAUAUAUAUGAAGUUUUGGGUGAUCUCGCCGGAAAACUGGAAUUCGGCGGACUCGCCGGGGAGGUGCGCCCUCACCGGCGUCGUACGGUGGCAAACGGAGGGAAAUCCACACCGUAAGGCGGUGCGGACGUCCGUAUCUGAAAAUGACUGUAUAUAUAUAUAUAUACAGGCCGGAUGUGAAGCGGACGUCCGCACUCGGCUUAAAGUGCGGACGUCCGUCCGUUCUCCACCCUCCGGCUCCGGCGACGGCGCGCCUCCACCCCAGAAGACUCCAGCAGCGUCCCCGACCAAUUUCCCUCCUUGGCGAGUCCCUUUUUUUUCCAGUUUUCCGGCGAGAUCACCCAAACUUCAAACAAAGUCGAUCUCGCCGGAAACUGGAAAAAAANNNNNNNNNNNNNNNNNNNNNNNNNNNNNNNNNNNNNNNNNNNNNNNNNNNNNNNNNNNNNNNNNNNNNNNNNNNNNNNNNNNNNNNNNNNNNNNNNNNNNNNNNNNNNNNNNNNNNNNNNNNNNNNNNNNNNNNNNNNNNNNNNNNNNNNNNNNNNNNNNNNNNNNNNNNNNNNNNNNNNNNNNNNNNNNNNNNNNNNNNNNNNNNNNNNNNNNNNNNNNNNNNNNNNNNNNNNNNNNNNNNNNNNNNNNNNNNNNNNNNNNNNNNNNNNNNNNNNNNNNNNNNNNNNNNNNNNNNNNNNNNNNNNNNNNNNNNNNNNNNNNNNNNNNNNNNNNNNNNNNNNNNNNNNNNNNNNNNNNNNNNNNNNNNNNNNNNNNNNNNNNNNNNNNNNNNNNNNNNNNNNNNNNNNNNNNNNNNNNNNNNNNNNNNNNNNNNNNNNNNNNNNNNNNNNNNNNNNNNNNNNNNNNNNNNNNNNNNNNNNNNNNNNNNNNNNNNNNNNNNNNNNNNNNNNNNNNNNNNNNNNNNNNNNNNNNNNNNNNNNNNNNNNNNNNNNNNNNNNNNNNNNNNNNNNNNNNNNNNNNNNNNNNNNNNNNNNNNNNNNNNNNNNNNNNNNNNNNNNNNNNNNNNNNNNNNNNNNNNNNNNNNNNNNNNNNNNNNNNNNNNNNNNNNNNNNNNNUUGUUUGAAGUUUUGGGUUGAUCUGGACNGAAAACUGGAAUUCUGCGAACUCGCCGGAGAUGGAAAGAGGUCGGAGAAGCUGCUGGAGUCCGCUAGGGUGGAGGCGCGCCCUCGCCGGUGCCGUACGGUGGCGAAAGGAGGGACAUCCGCACGGUGCGGACGUCCGCACCUGAUAACAUCUGUGUGUGUGUGUGUGUAUAUAUAUAUAUAGAAAGGAUAGAGAGCGGACGUCCGCACUCUGGCUUAAAGUGCGGACUUCGUCCGUUCUCUGCCGUCUCACGCCGGCGACGGCUUCUCUCCUUCCCGGACGACAACACAAGCUUCUAGGACGGUUUCUCUCCUUCCAGGACUGGCCAGCGACAAGUUUUUCGGCCGAUUUGAAGCUCUGGACGGAAAACACCAUGAUUGAUCAAGGUUGACCGGAAAACUUGUCGCCGGCCAGUCCUGGAAGGAGAGAAGCCGUCCUGGAAGCCUGUGCUGUCGUCCGGGAAGGAGAGAAGCCAUCGCCGGCGUGAGACGGCAGAGAACGGACGAAGUCCGCACUUUAAGCCGGAGUGCGGACGUCCGCUCUACAUCCGGCUUGUAUAUAUAUAUAUCUUCACUUUACCUGGGAUCAUGGUUUUCCAUAACGAAAACCAUGAGUAAAUUAUAUAAUCACCAGGCGUG
rnacentral:lncRNA from 1 species